GUGAGGAGGGGGUCGUGGGGGGGUCACGUGGUCACCGGGGCGGUGGGGUCACGUGGUCACCGGGGCGGGGGGUCACGGGGUCGUUUGGGGGCGGGGAGGGAGGGGGGGCCGUUGGGGGGUGGAGGAAGGGGCCCAAAAUGGCGGCGGGCCUGCCCCGGUGCAUCAUGGGAGGCGCAAAGGCUCAUGGGAGGCUGUGGGCCUCUAUGGGGAUUCUGUGGGGCUCUAUGGGGUUUCUAUGGGGCUUUAUGGGGUCUCUGUGGGUCUCUAUGGGGCUUCUAUGGGUCUCUUUAGGGUUUGUAUGGGGCUCUAGGGGGUUUCUGUGGGUCUCUAUGGGGCUUUAUGGGGUCUCUAUGGGGUUUCUAUGGGUCUCUGUGUGGUCUCUAUGGAGCUCUGUGGGUCUCUAUGGGGUUUCUAUGGGGCUCUGGGGGAUUCUAUGGGGUCUCUAGGUUUCUAUGGGGCUCUAUGGAGUCUCUGUGGGGCUUUAUGGGGUCUCUGUGGGUCUCUAUGGGGCUCUAUGGGGUCUCUAUGGGGCUUCUAUGGGGCUCUGUGGGUCUCUAUGGGGUUCCUAUGGGGCUCUGUGGGUCUCUCUGGAGUUUCUAUGGGUCUCUCUGGGGCUCUGUGGGUCUUUAUGGGGUUUCUAUGGGGCUCUGUGGGUCUCUAUGAGGUCUCUAUGGGUCUCUAUGGGGUUUCUGCUGGGCUCUGUGGGUCUCUGUGGGGUUUCUAUGGGGCUCUGUGGGGUUUCUAUGGGGCUCUGUGGGGCUUCUGUGGGUCUCUAUGGGGUCUCUGGGGCUCUAUGGGAUUUAUGGGGCUCUAUGGGGUCUCCGUGUGUCCCUAUGGGUCUGGCUGUGCUCGGUUGGUUUCUAUGGGGCGCCCCAUAUCCCCCCCCCCCCCUUUUAGAGCCCCGCCCCCGAAGCGUUCCCUCCCGGAAGCGGUGGCGGCCGCGCGGCUGCGGGCGUUGGGGCUGCACCACGACCACCGAUAUGGCGGAAAUGGGCUGCCCCAGGUCCCCCACCCCCAGACGUCGGCGAUGUCACCCUGAGCCCCCCCCACGCUCUGCCCCACGGCGCUAUGGGGUGCCCCACAACCGCCGCCGUUGAACUGAAGCUGAAAGGAGCCCCCCCACCCCCGACCCCCCCCAGCCCCACAUUUGGGGACCCUGAGCCCCACAGAUGCCACGUGUGGGGCUGGAGGGGUGGGGAAGGGAAAUGUGUGGGGCAGACCCCGAUGUGUGGGGCUGCAGCUGUGCUCUUUUUGCCCCUAAAUUGCUGUUUUUCACCCCAAAAUAAAGGAUAAAUGGGUUUGAGAGAUGUGGGGCAGAAGAUGGGGGGGAUUGGG
rnacentral:lncRNA from 1 species